rnacentral:rRNA from 1 species
GCUUAACCAUAAACCUAGACAGCCAAAAACUCUUGCUGUCCGCCAGGGAACUACAAGCAAAAGCUUAAAACUCAAAGGACUUGGCGGUGCUCUACACCUGACUAGAGGAGCCUGUCCCAUAAUCGAUACCCCACGAUAAACCCGACCACUCUUUGAAUAUUUCAGCCUAUAUACCGCCGUCACCAGCCUACCUCAUGAGAGUACAAAAGUAAGCAAAACUGCAAACACAACUACGCCAGGUCAAGGUGUAGCUUACAGAGUGGAGGAGAUGGGCUACAUUUUCUAAAACAGAAUACGCACGGAAAGGCCUGUGAAAAACAACCUAAAAGGCGGAUUUAGCAGUAAGAUAAACAAGAAUUUUUAUCUGAAGAUUGCUCUAGAGCACGC